UUUGUUUUCCACUAAAAAGAAUGGAGAAUAGCCUACAAUCACAUUGUUUUUUAAAUGGUGCCAUGUAGUUUGUGAUUGUAAGGGUUUAUUGACUGAAGGUGAAUGUGUGUUUUGUGUAUUUUGCUAACUGACUGACUAGUUGUUGAUGUAUUGUAUUAUAGUGGAUCCGUGGCUUAAAGGGAUACUGGAAGGCAGGCAGACAGCUUCUUUAAGUGCAAGAUGUUUGUUCACAGGUGAAGGAUGCAAGGCCAAGGUAGAGCAGGAGUCCACAUUUACAGGUGAAGGAUGCAAGGCCAAGGUAGAGCAGGAGUCCACAUUUACAGGUGAAGGAUGCAAGGCCAAGGUAGAGCAGGAGUCCACAUUUACAGGUGAAGGAUGCAAGGCCAAGGUAGAGCAGGAGUCCACAUUUACAGGUGAAGGAUGCAAGGCCAAGGUAGAGCAGGAGUCCACAUUUACAGGUGAAGGAUGCAAGGCCAAGGUAGAGCAGGAGUCCACAUUUACAGGUGAAGGAUGCAAGGCCAAGGUAGAGCAGGAGUCCACAUUUACAGGUGAAGGAUGCAAGGCCAAGGUAGGGCAGGAGUCCACAUAUACAGAUAAUAAGAUGUAGGAUAAUGACAAAAUAGAUUA